GAUGAACGCUGCGGCGUGCUUAAUACAUGCAAGUAGAACGCUGAAGCUUGGUGCUUGCACCGAGCGGAUGAGUUGCGAACGGGUGAGUAACGCGUAGGUAACUGCCUCUUAGCGGGGGAUAACUAUUGGAACGAUAGCUAAUACCGCAUAAAAGUCGAUAUCGCAUGAUAUUGAUUUGAAAGGUGCAAAUGCAUCACUAAGAGAUGGACCUGCGUUGUAUUAGCUAGUUGGUGAGGUAACGGCUCCCAAGGCGACGAUACAUAGCGACCUGAGAGGGUGAUCGGCCACACUGGGACUGAGACACGGCCCAGAUCCUACGGGAGGCAGCAGUAGGGAAUCUUCGGCAAUGGGGGCACCCUGACCGAGCAACGCCGCGGAGUGAAGAAGGUUUUCGGAUCGUAAAGCUCUGUUGUAAGAGAAGAACGAGUGUGAGAGUGGAAAGUUCACACUGUGACGGUAACUACCAGAAAGGCGGCG
rnacentral:rRNA from 1 species